rnacentral:rRNA from 1 species
AAAGAUUAAGUUAUUAAGGGCGCACGGUGGAUGCCUUGGCAAUAGAAGCCGAUGAAGAACGUUACUAACGACGAUAUGCUUUGGGGAGCUGUAAGUAAGAUUUGAUCCAAGGAUUUCCGAAGGGCGGCACCCAGCACGAGUUAUGUCGUGUUAUCCGCAUGUGAAUCCAUAGCAUGUGAGAAGGUAGACCCGGAGAACUG